GGAGAGUUAGAUCUUGGCUCAGAUUGAACGCUGGCGGCAUGCCUUACACAUGCAAGUCGAACGGCAGCAUAGGAGCUUGCUCCUGAUGGCGAGUGGCGAACGGGUGAGUAAUAUAUCGGAACGUGCCCUAGAGUGGGGGAUAACUAGUCGAAAGACUAGCUAAUACCGCAUACGAUCUACGGAUGAAAGUGGGGGAUCGCAAGACCUCAUGCUCCUGGAGCGGCCGAUAUCUGAUUAGCUAGUUGGUGGGGUAAAAGCCUACCAAGGCAACGAUCAGUAGCUGGUCUGAGAGGACGACCAGCCACACUGGGACUGAGACACGGCCCAGACUCCUACGGGAGGCAGCAGUGGGGAAUUUUGGACAAUGGGGGCAACCCUGAUCCAGCAAUGCCGCGUGAGUGAAGAAGGCCUUCGGGUUGUAAAGCUCUUUUGUCAGGGAAGAAACGGUAGUAGCUAAUAUCUAUUACUAAUGACGGUACCUGAAGAAUAAGCACCGGCUAACUACGUGCCAGCAGCCGCGGUAAUACGUAGGGUGCAAGCGUUAAUCGGAAUUACUGGGCGUAAAGCGUGCGCAGGCGGUUGUGUAAGUCAGAUGUGAAAUCCCCGGGCUCAACCUGGGAAUUGCAUUUGAGACUGCACGGCUAGAGUGUGUCAGAGGGGGGUAGAAUUCCACGUGUAGCAGUGAAAUGCGUAGAUAUGUGGAGGAAUACCGAUGGCGAAGGCAGCCCCCUGGGAUAACACUGACGCUCAUGCACGAAAGCGUGGGGAGCAAACAGGAUUAGAUACCCUGGUAGUCCACGCCCUAAACGAUGUCUACUAGUUGUCGGGUCUUAAUUGACUUGGUAACGCAGCUAACGCGUGAAGUAGACCGCCUGGGGAGUACGGUCGCAAGAUUAAAACUCAAAGGAAUUGACGGGGACCCGCACAAGCGGUGGAUGAUGUGGAUUAAUUCGAUGCAACGCGAAAAACCUUACCUACCCUUGACAUGGAUGGAAUCCUGAAGAGAUUUGGGAGUGCUCGAAAGAGAACCAUCACACAGGUGCUGCAUGGCUGUCGUCAGCUCGUGUCGUGAGAUGUUGGGUUAAGUCCCGCAACGAGCGCAACCCUUGUCAUUAGUUGCUACGAAAGGGCACUCUAAUGAGACUGCCGGUGACAAACCGGAGGAAGGUGGGGAUGACGUCAAGUCCUCAUGGCCCUUAUGGGUAGGGCUUCACACGUCAUACAAUGGUACAUACAGAGGGCCGCCAACCCGCGAGGGGGAGCUAAUCCCAGAAAGUGUAUCGUAGUCCGGAUUGGAGUCUGCAACUCGACUCCAUGAAGUUGGAAUCGCUAGUAAUCGCGGAUCAGCAUGUCGCGGUGAAUACGUUCCCGGGUCUUGUACACACCGCCCGUCACACCAUGGGAGCGGGUUUUACCAGAAGUGGGUAGCCUAACCGCAAGGAGGGCGCUCACCACGGUAGGAUUCGUGACUGGGGUGAAGUCGUAACAAGGUAGCCGUAUCGGAAGGUGCGGCUGGAUCACCUCCUUUCUAGAGUGCGCACGAAGUUAAGCGUCCACACUUAUCGGCUGUAAAUCAAGAACAGUUAUUUGGUGAAGCACGAUCCGUGACACAAGUCACUGACUGGCUACUGAUACUGAUCCAAGCGGGUCUGUAGCUCAGCUGGUUAGAGCACCGUGUUGAUAACGCGGGGGUCGUUGGUUCGAGCCCAACCAGACCCACCAAAGUUUCGGGGGUUUAGCUCAGCUGGGAGAGCACCUGCUUUGCAAGCAGGGGGUCGUCGGUUCGAUCCCGUCAACCUCCUCCAAGAAAUGUCAAACCUAAGUCAGCGUUCAAGUUGGCGUAGUGAUUUAGGUUUGAUCUUUUACGAUCAAUGGCUGUUUUUGUUCUUUAACAAUCUGGAAGAAGUAAAGAUUCAUUUGAUGAUGAAUGCCAGGACUGCGGUCCUUGUAUGAAUCAAAAAAAUGGGUGUGAUUGUAUCAAUCAAAGUAUUACGAAGUGAUCUUAGCAAUUAGAAGACUUACUUUGGAAUACGGCAAACGCUAAAACUCAACGCUUCAUAUGACGCUCUUGCAAAAGAGGCUAACGUUAUAGGAACAAGCGAAUAAGUGCACAUGGUGGAUGCCUUGGCGAUUACAGGCGAUGAAGGACGUAGUAGCUUGCGAUAAGCUGCGGGGAGCUGGCAAACAAGCUUUGAUCCGCAGAUUUCCGAAUGGGGAAACCCGG
rnacentral:sRNA from 1 species